UCUACUUCUAGAGGCAUUGCAGGUGUGGCUGCUGUAUCACUGUGCAUCAGUAGGUGGCAGAGAGGCGAGAAGCUAGUCUAUGCUCAGUGUUCUGACUAGUGACCGACCAUCUGAAUGAUAAGUACCCAACCAUU